CACGAAGUUAGCCGGGGCUUAUUCUUCCGGUACCGUCAUUAUCGUCCCGGACAAAAGGGCUUUACAACCCUAAGGCCUUCAUCACUCACGCGGCAUGGCUGGAUCAGGCUUGCGCCCAUUGUCCAAUAUUCCCCACUGCUGCCUCCCGUAGGAGUCUGGGCCGCGUCUCAGUCCCAGUGUGGCUGAUCAUCCUCUCAGACCAGCUACUGAUCGUCGCCUUGGUAGGCCAUUACCCCACCAACUAGCUAAUCAGACGCGGGCCGAUCCUUCGGCAGCAAACCUUUCCCCAAAAGGGCGUAUCCGGUAUUAGCGCUAGUUUCCCAGCGUUAUUCCGAACCAAAGGGUACGUUCCCACGUGUUACUCACCCGUCUGCCGCUGACACCGAAGUGCCCGCUCGACUUGCAUGUGUUAAGCCUGCCGCCAGCGUUCGCUCUGAGCCAGGAUCAAACUCU
rnacentral:rRNA from 1 species